CAAGUCUUGGGAGAAAGAGGUAGCAAUAUCUCGAGUACACCGGCGCAAGGGUGAGUAACACGUAGGCAACCUGCCUUCAGGACGGGGAUAACUCCGAGAAAUCGGGGCUAAUACCCGAUAAUGCAGCGGCAUCGCAUGGUGACAGUUGUUAAAGGUUCUGCAGCAAUGCAGGGCGCCUGGAGAUGGGCCUGCGUCCCAUUAGGUUGUUGGCGGGGUAACGGCCCACCAAGCCUUCGAUGGGUAGCUGGUCUGAGAGGACGAUCAGCCACACUGGGACUGAGACACGGUCCAGACUCCUACGGGAGGCAGCAGUGAGGAAUAUUGCGCAAUGCCCGAAAGGGUGACGCAGCGACGCCGCGUGGAGGAUGAAGGCCCUCUGGGUCGUAAACUCCUUUUGCGGGGGAAGAACGGUUCGCUACAGGCGGACG
rnacentral:rRNA from 1 species